GACACAAGUGUCAAGUUUCAACUUUAAGAAUCUACUAAAGCAUUUGCAAAAUACUUAGUAAACGACAUUCUUUUUUAUCAGUAGUCGCAUUAGCCAAACCAUUACCUAAAAGUUAACACAUUACCUAAGAGGAGACAUGUUGCAGAAAGCUUCUUGAUAUCUUUUGCUUAUGUUCCUAGGGUAGCAAGUUUUCUUCUCUCAUUCUCAUUAUACAAAUGAUUUGAAACACAGUCCUUGUUUUUAUGUUUUAAUUUUAAAAUGUAUAUUUAAAAUGUUAUUUUUAUUAUUUUUUAUUUUAUAAAUAAAUUUAAUCUUUAAUUUUUUUUUUUUUUUUUAAUCCAAAUUAAGAAAUUACCGCUCCAAAAUUAUGAGAUUCUUAACUAAAAUCCUUAACUACAAUUUAUUAGUUUAAUAGUCACUAAAAUGUACUUAAGAAAUUAUGUGGGAUCCUAGGGAUAAACAUGCUCUUACUUGUGUCUUACGAGUACAGAUUUUGAGAAGAGAAAAAAAAAGCCGAGAUUCUUGUGUUUCUCUAUCUCUCUCUCUAUGGUGCUACCGACGAAGAGAUGUAGAGACCACCGACGACCAUUGGCCUCAGCGUAGAGACGUCGUCACUUGCGCCUGCGUAUUGAAGAAGUGGAGAGAGAUCACCGGGAGAUCGUUAGAUCUCCGAGUAACUCCGGCAAAAUCACUUUCCCUUCUUGCCUCAAAUUGGCGGCGUACGAAGAGAAGUAUAUUGUUAUAAUGGCCGGAGAUGACUUGCCUACGUAUCUUGCGACGCCUGCUGGGAACAAGUGUGUUUGUAGUCACGAGGGUGAAGUUGUAAUUCUCGAGGAGGGUGAUGCUGCAAAGAGAGAAGAAAGCAAACAAAAUGACGAAACAACGAGUCACUAAAUGUUUAUAGCUUUAAUUUGCUCUGUUUCAUAGUUUUGCUCAGACAUUACAGAAUGAAGCUCAACAGUAGCUUGGAGGAGACCAAGAAGAUUAGAGAAAACAAAAGUGCGAUCAACAAAUGUUUAUAGCUUUAAUUUUCUUCAUCAACAUCAUGGUUCAUGAUUACUAUCACUAGAAAAAUAAAUUUCAUUGUUAGUUC